GUGUCAGCAGCCGCGGUAAUACAGAGGUCUCAAGCGUUGUUCGGAUUCAUUGGGCGUAAAGGGUGCGUAGGUGGCGCCGUAAGUCAGGUGUGAAAUUUCGGAGCUUAACUCCGAAACUGCAUUUGAUACUGCGGUGCUUGAGGACUGGAGAGGAGACUGGAAUUUACGGUGUAGCAGUGAAAUGCGUAGAGAUCGUAAGGAAGACCAGUGGCGAAGGCGGGUCUCUGGACAGUUCCUGACACUGAGGCACGAAGGCCAGGGGAGCAAACGGGAUUAGAUACCCCUGUAGUCC
rnacentral:rRNA from 1 species